GACACCACAAGAAACAGGUGUUACAAAUAUAACUAUUGUAUUCUCAAUAUUGUUUUAAUGACUUCCCGAGUAAAUAAUGUGAUUAUUUCACACUGAACACAUAAGUAUGCCUUUACAUGAAAGCCUUCGUAUUUGAAAAGCGUAUGGCCAUGUGUCACCUGCUUUGAAUGACGACCACAAGCUAAUAACAAGUAGGAUACAGAUCUUUCCUCGUCCAUCAUUCCACCUACAUCCUGGGACUUUUCCUCUAAUUUCAGCUGAGGAGUUUCUUUUUCAUCAACCAUGGAUGCGGCAUCAGCAGCCGAAUUGCCAGAAUCUUCUUCCUUUCCCAGAUGUAACCAUCCUGUCACUGAAGAACCAAGCCAGGAAGCGGAGGGAGACCCACCUUGUUCGUUCGGAGCCGUAGGAUUCUCGUGCGCUUCCUCGUGAAUCCCGGCAG